AUUUCCCACAGCCCAGACACAGAGGAGCUUCCCUCUUCCCCAUAAUCUUACUUACUUUGUGUCAAAAUCACCAUUCUUCUGGGUCCAAGCUAAUUCUUAAGGAUGGUACCUUCUGCCUCCCUGAAAAGAAAUGGCUGAUGUAUCUUGAAGAUACAAAAUUGUUGAGUUUUUGAUCUACUGAGCAGUCUACUGAGGCAAAGGAAAGUUCUUAAGAUGGCUCCCCCUUCCAGGCACUGUCUGUAUUUUCUGGGAAAUACCAGGCAUUAACCUCUCCUGCACCCAGUCACUUGUCAGAGCUCAGGUCAUCCAUCUGCUCAGCCUGCUUAUCUGCAGCCAAGUGUACAUUCUUAAAGUGUCCCGUGAUUUCCCAAAAAGCAGGAUUCAGAGCAAUUAAUCUUUGAAAACUAGGAUUUACAUUUUGAAAGCUUUAGAGAACUGGCCUGAAACAUCUCAUUGUUAUUUUAAGGAGUUUGUGGCCUUUUCAUGGAAGAUGAACAUUUGGCCCACUUUGGCUCAUUUUACAUAAACAUAUAAAACCAGUGAUGGUAAUGGAGAGAACCCACAAAAACCCAGUGCUGGGGCCUAAUCCUGAAGCAAAAGAUUUAUCAGUAAUGCUACCAGAGUUCCCAGAAUGUAUCAACUGAGUAGUACUCCAGGAAAACAGAACCUGGGAAGGCUCCGUGGUGAAGAGACCUUUGCGUUGGGUCCUGAAGGAUGUGCAAGCAUGUUUCUAGCACAAAAGGAGCUGGUCAUUCCAGGCAAGGGGAACUGUCUGCCAAGAUGUGCACUCCCAGUAUCAGUAGAGCUUUUAGAAAAAGUUGAAGAUUGCUGGACUGUUCUUUGCUUGAAGAUGCCUCCUUGACAUGUGCCUGUAGCACUAUUUGGAAGGAAGAUGACAAUUUUUCUCCAAUACCAG
ensembl:lncRNA